UACGGAGGGAGCUAGCGUUGUUCGGAAUUACUGGGCGUAAAGCGCGCGUAGGCGGCUUUGUAAGUUAGAGGUGAAAGCCCGGAGCUCAACUCCGGAAUUGCCUUUAAGACUGCAUCGCUUGAAUCCAGGAGAGGUGAGUGGAAUUCCGAGUGUAGAGGUGAAAUUCGUAGAUAUUCGGAAGAACACCAGUGGCGAAGGCGGCUCACUGGACUGGUAUUGGCGCUGAGGUGCGAAAGCGUGGGGAGCAAACAGG
rnacentral:rRNA from 1 species